GACGAACGCUGGCGGCGUGCUUAACACAUGCAAGUCGAACGGAAAGGCCCUGCUUUUGUGGGGUGCUCGAGUGGCGAACGGGUGAGUAACACGUGAGUAACCUGACCUUGACUUUGGGAUAACUUCAGGAAACUGGGGCUAAUACCGGAUAGGAGCUCCUGCUGCAUGGUGGGGGUUGGAAAGUUUCGGCGGUUGGGGAUGGACUCGCGGCUUAUCAGCUUGUUGGUGGGGUAGUGGCUUACCAAGGCUUUGACGGGUAGCCGGCCUGAGAGGGUGACCGGCCACAUUGGUACUGAGAUACGGCCCAGACUCCUACGGGAGGAAGCAGUGGGGAAUAUUGCACAAUGGGCGGAAGCCUGAUGCAGCAACGCCGCGUGCGGGAUGACGGCCUUCGGGUUGUAAACCGCUUUCGCCUGUGACGAAGCGUGAGUGACGGUAAUGGGUAAAGAAGCACCGGCUAACUACGUG
rnacentral:rRNA from 1 species